GAGUUUGAUCCUGGCUCAGAUUGAACGCUGGCGGCAGGCCUAACACAUGCAAGUCGAGCGGAUGACGGGAGCUUGCUCCUUGAUUCAGCGGCGGGCGGGUGAGUAAUGCCUGGGAAUCUGCCUGGUAGUGGGGGACAACGUUUCGAAAGGAACGCUAAUACCGCAUACGUCCUACGGGAGAAAGCAGGGGACCUUCGGGCCUUGCGCUAUCAGAUGAGCCUAGGUCGGAUUAGCUAGUUGGUGGGGUAAUGGCUCACCAAAGGCGACGAUCCGUAACUGGUCUGAGAGGAUGAUCAGUCACGCUGGAACUGAGACACGGUCCAGACUCCUACGGGAGGCAGCAGUGGGGAAUAUUGGACAAUGGGCGAAAGCCUGAUCCAGCCAUGCCGCGUGUGUGAAGAAGGUCUUCGGAUUGUAAAGCACUUUAAGUUGGGAGGAAGGGCAGUAAGUUAAUACCUUGCUGUUUUGACGUUUACCGACAGAAUAAGCACCGGCUAACUCUGUGCCAGCAGCCCG
rnacentral:rRNA from 1 species